AACGAACGCUGGCGGCAGGCUUAACACAUGCAAGUCGAGCGGGCAUAGCAAUAUGUCAGCGGCAGACGGGUGAGUAACGCGUGGGAACGUACCUUUUGGUCCGGAACAACACAGGGAAACUUGUGCUAAUACCGGAUAAGCCCUUACGGGGAAAGAUUUAUCGCCGAAAGAUCGGCCCGCGUCUGAUUAGCUAGUUGGUGAGGUAAUGGCUCACCAAGGCGACGAUCAGUAGCUGGUCUGAGAGGAUGAUCAGCCACAUUGGGACUGAGACACGGCCCAAACUCCUACGGGAGGCAGCAGUGGGGAAUAUUGGACAAUGGGCGCAAGCCUGAUCCAGCCAUGCCGCGUGAGUGAUGAAGGCCCUAGGGUUGUAAAGCUCUUUUGUGCGGGAAGAUAAUGACGGUACCGCAAGAAUAAGCCCCGGCUAACUUCGUGCCAGCAGCCGCCGUAA
rnacentral:rRNA from 1 species